CUCUGAUGUGCUUCGCAUUGCUUAUUUUGCAAAUUCCUAUCUGAAUAAAAUUGUUUGAAGAAGCAGUAACUAGUAAUUGUGAUUUAGUCAAAAUCGUAGAACAACCACUUAACCCAUAUACAAGAGCAGAAAUUUUGAUUUAAACUAAUGCUGUCAAUGGACACGAUAACCUUAAAACCAAUAACCGACUGUCCCUAGAGCAAGUGGCAAAGGACUUGAUGGUUGGUACUCGAAACCCAAGUUCGAAUCCUAGUUGAUUCACAUUUCCAGCGAAGUUUAUUUCUAAAUGAAAUAAACGAAGCGGGUAGCGUGCUACCUAAUCUCUCUCGAAAAAAAAAAAAAAACCCUUAAAACCAAUAUUUGAGAAUUCGAUCCAAAACAUAAUAAUUUCUUUUU
rnacentral:lncRNA from 1 species